rnacentral:rRNA from 1 species
CCGUGAAAAAAUUAGAGUGUUCAAAGCAGGCAGAUCCAAUUUUCUGCCACCGAAUACAUUAGCAUGGGAUAAUGGAAUAGGACCCUGUCCUCCUAUUUUCAGUUGGUUUUGGCAGCGCGAGGACUAGGGUAAUGAUUAAUAGGGAUAGUUGGGGGCAUUAAUAUUUAAUUGUCAGAGGUGAAAUUCUUGGAUUUAUGAAAGAUUAACUUCUGCGAAAGCAUCUGCCAAGGAUGUUUUCAUUAAUCAAGAACGAAAGUUAGGGGAUCGAAGACGAUCAGAUACCGUCGUAGUCUUAACCAUAAACGAUGCCGACCAGCGAUUAGGAGACGUUGAAUACAAAACACCACCAUCGGUUGCGGUCGUCCUUGGCGUCUCGGUUUCGGCCGGGGCGCGGGGAUGGCUUAGCCCGGUGGCACCGGUGAAUGACUCCC